UUGAUUACGUCCCUGCCCUUGUACACACCGCCCGUCGCUGCCCGGGACUGAGCCAUUUCGAGAAAUUUGGGGAUUGCCGAUUAGUGGUUCUUCGGGAUUGCUUUUUGGUGAGAACCAAUUUAAUCGCAGUGGCUUGAACCGGGCAAAAGUCGUAACAAGGUGGCUGUAGGUGAACCUGCUGCCGGAUCAUUAUCGAU
rnacentral:rRNA from 1 species